rnacentral:tRNA from 1 species
GCCUGGGUGGCUCAGUCAGUUAAGCAUCUGACUCUUGGUUUUGGCUCAGUGUUUGUGGGUUCAAACCCCACAUCGGGCU